UACGUAGGGUGCGAGCGUUAAUCGGAAUUACUGGGCGUAAAGCGUGCGUAGGUGGUUUGUUAAGUCUGUUGUGAAAGCCCCGGGCUCAACCUGGGAAUGGCAAUGGAUACUGGCAAGCUAGAGUGCGGUAGAGGGUAGUGGAAUUCCCGGUGUAGCGGUGAAAUGCGUAGAGAUCGGGAGGAACACCAGUGGCGAAGGCGGCUACCUGGACCAGCACUGACACUGAGGCACGAAAGCCAGGGGAGCAAACGGG
rnacentral:rRNA from 1 species